CUUGCCUGGAGAAUUCCAUGGACAAAGGAGACUGGCAGGCUGCAGUCCACGGGAUCACAAAGAGUCGAACACGACUGAGUGACUAACACUGGGAGAACACUUUGUCGGCUUCCAAUGAAGUGGUUGCUAUCUCCUGCUAGAAGAGAAACCCUGAUAAAGAUGGAGGCCCAAGCUUUCUUCCUCCUCUCUCCUGCCUGUGAUCACCUGGGUGAUCUUCCAUGUGGCCCUGCUCUGCCUCCUCCCAAGACCUGUGAGUGUAAGGACUUUGUCUUUCUGAAUCUCUUCUCUGUCCUGCUCUUAC